UACAGAGGGUGCUAGCGUUGUUCGGAAUCAUUGGGCGUAAAUGGCGUGUAGGCGGUUUGUUAAGUCAUGUGUGAAAUCCCUCGGCUCAACCGGGGAACGACGCAUGAAACUGGCAAGCUAGAGUACCAAAGAGGGGGGUGGAAUUCCCGGUGUAGCGGUGAAAUGCGUAGAUAUCGAGAGGAACACCUGCGGCGAAGGCGGGUUGCUGGGCUGACACUGACGCUGAGGCGCGAAAGCUAGGGGAGCGAACGGG
rnacentral:rRNA from 1 species